rnacentral:rRNA from 1 species
AGCGAACGCUGGCGGCGUGCCUAACACAUGCAAGUCGAACGUGAAAGGGAGCAAUCCCAAGUAAAGUGGCGUACGGGUGAGUAACACGUAGGUAAUCUACCCCAGAAUCUGGAAUAACCGGCCGAAAGGCUGGCUAAUACUGGAUAGAGCGACGGAAUCCGUAAUUGGGUUUUUCGGGAAAGGGAGCCUGUAAAAAGGCCUUCGUUCUGGGAUGAGCCUGCGUCCCAUCAGCUAGUUGGUGAGGUAAAAGCUUACCAAGGCAAUGACGGGUAGCUGGUCUGAGAGGACGAUAAGCCACACUGGAACUGAAACACGGUCCAGACUCCUACGGGAGGCAGCAGUGGGGAAUCUUGCGCAAUGGACGAAAGUCUGACGCAGCAACGCCGCGUGAGUGAAGAAGGCCUUCGGGUUGUAAAGCUCUGUCGAGUGGGACGAAAAUGCUUGGAGUUCACAGCUCCAGGAACUGACGGUACCACUAAAGGAAGCACCGGCUAACUCCGUG